rnacentral:rRNA from 1 species
AGGAUGAACGCUGGCGGCGUGCCUAACACAUGCAAGUCGAACGUCCUGUCUCGCAAGAGGCAGGGAGUGGCGGACGGGUGAGUACCACGUGGGUCAUCUACCGUGAGGUGAGGAAUACCGGCGAGAAAUCGCCGACAAGACCGCAUAGGCUCGAUGCAAGUCGAGCAAAGCUCUUUCGAGAGAGGGAGCGCCACACGAGGAGCCUGCGCCCGAUUAGCUAGCUGGUGGAGUAACGGUUCACCAGGGCGACGAUCGGUAGCUGGUCUGAGAGGACGAUCAGCCACACUGGGAUUGAGAACGGCCCAGACUCCUACGGGGGGCAGCAGUGAGGAAUUUUCGUCAAUGGGGGCAACCCUGAACGAGCAACGCCGCGUGCAGGAAGAAGGUUUCGGAUCGUAAACUGCUUUUCUCGGGAAGAGAGCGGACGGUACCCGAGGAAUCAGCCCCGGCUAACGUACGUGCCAGCAGCCGCGGU